rnacentral:rRNA from 1 species
GUGGUUUAAUUUGAAGCAACGCGAAGAACCUUACCAAAUCUUGACAUCCUUUGACAACUCUAGAGAUAGAGCCUUCCCCUUCGGGGGACAAAGUGACAGGUGGUGCAUGGUUGUCGUCAGCUCGUGUCGUGAGAUGUUGGGUUAAGUCCCGCAACGAGCGCAACCCUUAAGCUUAGUUGCCAUCAUUAAGUUGGGCACUCUAAGUUGACUGCCGGUGACAAACCGGAGGAAGGUGGGGAUGACGUCAAAUCAUCAUGCCCCUUAUGAUUUGGGCUACACACGUGCUACAAUGGACAAUACAAAGGGCAGCGAAACCGCGAGGUCAAGCAAAUCCCAUAAAGUUGUUCUCAGUUCGGAUUGUAGUCUGCAACUCGACUACAUGAAGCUGGAAUCGCUAGUA